UCUCUCCUACCACCAGGGUUAGGGUUAAUGAAGCUGUGAUCUGUCUCUCCUAUCACCAGGGUUAGGGUUAAUGAAGCUGUGAUCUGUCUCUCCUAUCACCAGGGUUAGGGUUAAUGAAGCUGUGAUCUGUCACUCCUACCACCAGGGUUCAGGUUAAUGAAGCUGUGAUCUGUCUCUCCUAUCACCAGGGUUCAGGUUAGGGUUAAUGAAGCUGUGAUCUGUCUCUCCUACAACCAGGGUUAGGGUUAAUGAAGCUGUGAUCUGUCUCUCCUAUCACCAGGGUUAGGGUUAAUGAAGCUAUGAUCUGUCUCUCCUACCACCAGGGUUAGGGUUAAUGAAGCUGUGAUCCGUCUCUACCCCCACCAGGGUUCAGAUUAGGGUUAAUGAAUCUGUGAUCUGUCUCUC